GGGCGGUUAGCUCAGCUGGGAGAGCGCCACGUUUACACCGUGGAUGUCGGGGGUUCGAUCCCCUCACCGCCCACCA
rnacentral:tRNA from 1 species